rnacentral:rRNA from 1 species
AACGAACGCUGGCGGCAUGCCUAACACAUGCAAGUCGAACGCGUGUAGCAAUACACGAGUGGCGGACGGGUGAGUAACGCGUGGGAACCUGCCCAAUGGUAGGGAAUAACUGCGGGAAACUGCAGCUAAUACCCUAUGCUCCCUACGGGGGAAGAUUUAUCGCCAUUGGAGGGGCCCGCGUCGGAUUAGCUAGUUGGCGGGGUAACGGGCCCACCAAGGCUACGAUCCGUAGCUGGUCUGAGAGGAUGAUCAGCCACACUGGGACUGAGAUACGGCCCAGACUCCUACGGGAGGCAGCAGUGGGGAA